rnacentral:lncRNA from 1 species
AGUCACACCGUUGUCUGAGAACCUGCUGGCCCUUGUACCACUCAUUUAAAUUCAUACUCAACUAGGAUUCUCCAGCGCUUUACAUGUCUCCUGGAGAAUGCAUAGAAAGUGCUGGGGCCAUGGUGGUGAACAAAAUAAAGUCUAUGUUUUCAUGAAGCUUACUUUCCAGUAAGGUUAGAAAGAAGUUGAAGAACCAAAAAUGUGUAGACUGACGGGAAAGGGAAUGGAAGGGAAUAGUCAUUGAACCGACAUCUCAUUUCCCUUACAGUGUCUCCACCACUCAGAAGGUGCCAAGUACCAUGUGGAUAUUUUACCUUCAUUCAUUAUGUCAUUCAAUCCUUAUCACACUCUG